UUUAAGUCACUUUUAAAUUAUUUAUUCUAUUUUUGAAUGUAUUCCUAACACUAAUCAAACAUGCACAUGAUAUCUUUAAAAAUCAUUUCAUUCCCUUCUCUAUUCCAUUUCCUCCUCUAUUUCGUUACUUCAACCCAAACGUAGCAUUAACCUUUGUCUUGGGAGUUGGAAGGAUCUCCCACCCCAAUUCUCCUUGUACCAAGCGAAACAUAAAC
rnacentral:lncRNA from 1 species